rnacentral:lncRNA from 1 species
CAAUACUCCAUACAUCUGUACUGUUUGCUAUUGACAGUAGAAUGUCUCAAGUUUAACAAACAUAUAUUAAUGAUUACUUGUGCUGAAAAUAUCAUUGUAUUAACAUGAUUCGUAAGGUCCGUCUUAUCCGACAGAUCGUCAGAUUUCGUUGAUUCAAUGCCAUGUUGACAGCACUAGUACAUUCAAAGAUCCAAAUCAUACUAAAAUUUCAAUACCACUGCUUGUCGUAAAUUUUUGAAGAUAUGUUAUUAAUUUUCUACCCUGAUAGUUCAAAAUAUAAUCCAUAACAUGAGAUAUGCAGCCACGAAUCCAAAUAUCAAGAUUAAAAUCGUAUGGCAAAGAACAAGAAGAAAGAUAAAAUAUAUGAAUGAAUUUAAGAAAAAAAAUUUGAUCCCAUUUAUAAUAUGUCAAGUUUGGAAGUGACUUGUUUAAUUAAUCAUCAGUAUUAAAGGUGAUAUUUUCAGUGUCGGUCUUGCAUCGUUUCAAUUUCUUAGCCCGAAACUUUGGCAGAAUUCACAACAUACUUUAGCCGUUGAUAUAUAAAAAGGCGAAAUAAAGAUAACCAGAGAUGGUGUUCCCAUUUACGUUUAAUCAUUUAAACUUUUGUGGUUUAGCUUCCAUCUCCUCGUUUAAUCCAUUGUCGUUUCGAGUGUUGAUCAGUUGAUCAAUUAUAUAAGAUUCAUGACAUUGUAACAUAUACUUAAAUAGUAAAUACCUGUUCAAACGUUACAACAAAAGAAAGUAAUCACAUUUUCAGCAAUUUUUCAUCUUUUGUAAUUGUUCCUUCCUUUCUUACAU